rnacentral:lncRNA from 1 species
UGCCUGCUGUGGAAUCUCCACAACGACAGGUGCUUUGGAGGCCAGAGUGCAUGCGUACGGGCCCUGCACACGCUGAAUGUCACUGGGAACAAGGACACACCCCGCUUCCAGGAGAAGAUAGAACAUGUCGACCCCUUUUAGCCAUCCCCAGUGCAGGACAUGCUAUUGACUUCCAUGAGACAAACACCUACUUGGAAAUCAGGUUUUUUCUGUACCUUUUGAAGGAGCAGGAAUUUCCCAGCAUUUCCUGGACAAAGACGGAGGCCACAUUCGCUGCAUCCUUUCCAGCAAGAUGUCAUUCUGAGAUUUUUGUCAUUCCUGGGCGUUAUGAGGACUGCCAAGGGACACAAUUCCAUGGGAGGAAAGUUUUCUUCUAAGCUGCAAGCCAGCUCUGGCUUCUGGAGUUUCUCCUUAGGAUUGCAAGACAGUAGUUCCCUGUCCUUUAGGUCUUCUCCAGAAAUACCUUAAAAUAGCAAAUAAAAUAAGAUAUAAGCAAACAAA